CCCUUAGAUGUUCUGGGCCGCACGCGCGCUACACUGAUGCAUUCAACAAGCCUAGCCUUGACCGAGAGGUCCGGGUAAUCUUUGAAACUGCAUCGUGAUGGGGCUAGAUUAUUGCAAUUAUUAAUCUUCAACGAGGAAUGCCUAGUAAGCGUGAUUCAUCAAAUCGCGUUGAUUACGUCCCUGCCCUUUGUACACACCGCCCGUCGCUCCUACCGAUUGAAUGUGUUGGUGAGGAGCUCGGAUUUGCAGCAGUUGGUGGUUCGCCACCGGCUAUUGCUGAGAAGUCCUCCAAACCGCCCCAUUUAGAGGAAGGAGAAGUCGUAACA
rnacentral:rRNA from 1 species